GGGUGACUCCCGUGCAGGCUGAUUUCUGGCUUACGUCACAGUCCAGUCUGAUUUUCUGCAAAUUUCUCUCUACAAGAUGAUUUGGGGACCUCAGUUUACCAUCUCCCAGCAGACUGAUGGGUGCGGGAGGAGAAUCACAAAUAUUGUGGCUAGUACAGAACAACCUCUUCCACCAAGCCAGUUGUGACUGCUGCGGAUGGAGAUGGACACCUGGUGAAUGAUUUAAUCCACCAACAAUCGUGGCACACAGCCAUCGUCUUCCCGAUGCCAGGACUCAGAGGCUGAGCCCGGGGUGCUGAGAGCCUGAGCCCACAGCUUCGGGGUGAGGAAUGGAGCUCGCCGAGCGCGGCUUAUCUUUCAAGGGAGCUCACACUCUUUUACAACACUCGAGAGAAGAGGACACGCAGCGGGACACCGGGGAAGAGGGUGGCGUGACAGUGGAAGCAAAGGCUGCAGUGAGGCAUGGACGUCUACAAGCCGAGGCGCAGCCGGGAUGGCCGGCCACCGGAAGCUGAAGGGACAAGGAAGGAGCCCCCUGAGGAAGUGCUGCUGGCCCACACCUUGAUCUUGGACUUCCAGCCUCCAGAGCUGGGAGAGAAGAGAUUCCGUUGUGCAAACACCUGGUCUAUGGUGCUUCGUCCCUGCAGAUGCAGCAAGCGGGCCCACCCAAGAAUAAAUGUGAA